GUUGAUGACAGCAGCGGUGCCCUUGACAGUUGCCCGGAUGUUGGAGCGAGCCGUGGGAUUGGAGCUCAUGUGUAAGGCAGCCUUGAUGGAGAUUCUGUACAGGAUGACCCCGAACACUACAGCAAAGGUCACACCAAUCUGCAGAGGAGACAAGAGAAGAAAAACAGCUCAUGAAGUCAAAGGUUAAAGGCACCCUAAUAAGGACACUCCAGGACUGGACUUGUCCACAGCUGCUUUCAAAAUACUUUGUAUCCCUCAUUUACUGAAGUGUUUCCAUUAUUUUGGCAGUUACCUGUAGGCCUAAUUGUGUGUGUGUCCAGAAGAUCUGCAUUGCUUUCAAUUGCUAGACUAAUGAUCAUGAGCACUCACUUCAACUUAGCUAAAGUUUCCCAGCCUAAUUGUGUAACCAAAUAUACAAAUGGAGAUUCAGUGAAAACAAAAAUCAGACAUUGAUUUAUGAAGACGAGUUCCUGUGCUUGUCUCAAGGCAGCACAACGCCAAUGUCCCAAUCAAAAUGGUGCUGAAAUUACCAUCUAGUUGACCACACACGGCAAAUGCUUUACGUUUAUUAUAACGGUUGGAUGACUUUGGGAAAUUCACGUAACCUCCGGCUCUACGAACUAAGCGACGCAUUCAGUUUACUUUUUUUUUUUUUUUUUACACCAUCGCAGCAGCGCAAAAGACUUGGGGCUAACCCAAAAUCAUUCAGGGCUAAAUCCCUGAAAGCCCGAUCCUAGUGACAUCCCUGGAUCUAAUACCACAGACUAACAUGCUGUGUGGGCCUUGGGCACAUCAACUUACCAUAAAAAGCAUUAGGAAAAGUCCCAUCAUAUAUGCUGGUGCACGGUCUGUACACGUCAGUUUCACUUUUUUAUCCUGAAACAGAGUAAUUAAUACAUAAUCAGGUGAGAAAUAGGAGCAAACCGAAACAACUAUCUGACAGCGAUUUGUGUCCUCAGCCGUGAUUGCUUAUGCUGACAGCCAUUUCCAAACAAGACAGGGCGACGCUCGCCCCGAGCGGACUAACACCGCUCCAACCAAGCACACAUAAUCUGAGCUCCUGGACACGAAACUGUGCAGUCAAAUCGCAUCUCAAUGUGUCUAAAAAAAAACAACAUAAAUACUAAAAUAAAAAGAGGGUCAGCGACUUCAGACCGUGUUUCCAGAUGAGAAAGGGAAUGUGAUGACCCCUUCGUCGUCUGACGAGAAAGGAGCUGACAUGCACGAGAUGCAGUUCAGAGGAAGCCAGACAAACAACCACCCUAGCAUGUGUUGAUAUCCAACAUGUGCUGUUAUGCAGGAGUAAAUAGAGACAGUGAAGGUUGUUCAGCUUACUAUAGACUGCUAGUAACCGAAAGAUUGCAAGUUCAAAUCCCCGAGCUAACAAGGUACAAAUCUGUUGUUCUGCCCCUGAGCAAGGCAGUUAGCCCACUGUUCCUAGGCCGUCACUGAAAAUAAGAAUUUGUUCUUAACUGACUUGCCUAGUUAAAUAAAGGUAAAAUAAAAAAGAUGAGACGUGCAUGUGGAGACAGUGGCAGUAGAAUUGAGGCAAUCUAUAUAAGAGUCCAACUUUAGGUUGGCAUUCUUCGGUGACAUUGAAUAAAGUUUUGGACUGUGACGAUAACUUUACAAUGGUGCAGUUCACGAGAGAACAAAAAGUGGAGGCGACAAACGCCACGUGUUACGCAACGGUGCCUUUACUCAUAGUGCAUGUGUGUUCGCGAAUAGGAAAUGUCGCCCAGAGACAAGAGGGAGAGAGAGAGAGAGAGAGAGAGAGAGAGAGGUGAAGCAGUCUGUGUGCUUCCAUUAGGAUGGUUCCAGUCCCCAUCUCUGGCACUAUAAGUCAAGAGCACCAGCACAACAGACACUUGAUGCAGCAAAAUAAUAGACAGAGAAACACUGAACACCAUAAAUAAUCUUCAAUAAUUUAUUCUAUGCAUGGAUGCAUACAUAGACUGAAAUAAAUAAUGUAAUAAUAUGUGUGUUGUUUGACAGCCCACCAAGAGGCACAUGAGUGAUAGGAAAAUGCCUACCUUGGGAUACAUAUCCUGUUUCUUCAGGGUCUUCUGCAUGACUUGGAUCUCAUACUCAGCCCUAUGGUGGUCCUAGAGCGGACAGAUGCACAUUAAUAAACAAGCUCGUCUAGCGGUAUCGACACAUUUGACUCAAAACGGAGGAACUGACAUCAUCCAGGUCAAAUGGCGUUUUUAACCAGUUGUCAAGUACAUAGCAACACCCACACAACAAAACUCGUCAUCCGCUAAGUGUUUCAGCGCAGUGCGGCGGGGUACACCACCAACAUUUCUAGCAUACAGGAGGAAAUGUGUGACAGAACAAUGUUAGGAGUACAGUAUCUGUAAGAGGGGAUGCAGGCCUUCAAAAAUGGGUUUGGCAUUCAUGCAUUUGGAACUGUUUACUUCACCCUCAUAUUGAUUAGGAGACCCAUUAGAAUACCUCUACAUGUUAUAUUCAUUAUCUUGCCUGUCUACUUAACAACCUUACCCCAUCUACCAGUAAACAUAAACAGUCACUGCAGUCAUUUGAUAUGUAACAGAAACAAGCCCAUAACUGUGCGAGCAGACAGAAACGGAGAAGGCUAAGCAAGUGCGUUUUAACCAUCUCUGACAUGCAAAGAGCCGAGGGAGAACCGGGGCAGGCAGUCAUGAAGCACAGUUUACCAGACGCCCUGGUGGUAAGGCAGGUAUGAGGGAAACAACUGUCAACUCUGCUAACAUCAGUAGGUGCUUCCUAGUGACUAAACAGUUUUUUUUUUAAAGGACAGGGGAUGUUAAGAAGCACCUUAGUGAGAGAGAGACAAAAAGAGAGAACAGAUAUUCCUUCCAUAUCUAGACAACAAAAAAACACCUUUAUACUACGUCUUCUUUAUAUUUAAAAAGGGUAAAAAAAAAUGUGGUACAUUAAAUUCCGCCUCAAGACCUAGUAAUUGUUGCAGUAUUGUCUUGAUCUUCUCAUAUUUCUUGUGUUUUUAUUUGUUAUUUUAUGUUAUCUAUAUUAUUACUUUCAUCACUACACUGUUGGGAAAGGGUUCACAAGUAAGCAUUUCACUGUACUGUUUUACACCUGUUGUAUCCUGUGCAUGUGGUGAAUAAACUUUGAAACUUGAAACUAUGGCCAGAUCGCCACUAGGCUACUUCCACCCCUCCCCUUCACCCCUCAAAGUGGCAAAUAAGGGACUGUUUGAAAGGGGGUCAUGUAAACAAUGCCUUAUUAUUAUUUAUUUUUACUGGUAACAUACCAUGAAUUCUGUCUGAAAUAGAUAAGAAUGUCAGAGUGAGGGAGAGUGAUAUAAACCUUGCCGGGGGAAGUUGGUUAGUAUUGAGUAACAGUAGCUGUAGAGAAAGCUGCUAGAAAAUUAAGUUAAUAAAUAAAAUCAAUUUCAAACCUUG